ACCAUAACAUGUUGAAACACCGGUUCUCAUAUGAUCACCAAAGUUAAGCAACAUCAAUCCUGGUCAGUAACUAGAUGGGUGACCACUUGGAAAUACUAGGUGCUGUAG